rnacentral:misc_RNA from 1 species
GAUGAAGAACGUAGCGAAAUGCGAUAAGUAAUGUGAAUUGCAGAAUUCAGUGAAUCAUCGAAUCUUUGAACGCAUCUUGCGCUCCUUGGUAUUCCUUGGAGCAUGCCUGUUUGAGUAUCAUGAGCAAAUCUCAAAGUCAAUUCCUUUUGUUAAUUCAAUUGGUUUUGCUUUGGACUUGGAGGUCUUGCAGAUUUCACAGUCUGCUCCUCUUAAAUGCAUUAGCUGGAUCUCAGUAAUUAUGCUUGGUUCCACUCGGCGUGAUAAGUAUCACUCGCUGAGGACACUGUUAAAAAGGUGGCCAGGAAAAUACUGAUUGAACCGCUUCUAACGGUCUAUUAAGUUAGACAAUUACCCUUAAGUUUGAUCUCAAAUCAGGUAGGACUACCCGCUGAACUUAAGCAUAUCAAAGCGGAGGA